UCGGCUACAGCCUGGGAGGCAGGGGGGGGGGGAUAUGCGUGUUGUGUUGCCAGACCCUCGCUCUUGACUUUUUCUUUCUUUCUUUCCCUCUCUCUCUUUUUAAUGCGACAGUUUGUGCGCUUUGGGACACAGGUGAUAGUUUCUCCACAAGCUGAUUGGAUGGUAUUACUGGAUUUCAGUGAGAGGCGUCAUCUUUCUCUAGUUCCUCAUGCUUCUGCGAGGGUCGGUCUUAGAGUUCUGGCUUUGACUGGAUGGAAAGAAGUUGCUCCAGUGUCACAGGAAGCCUGAACCCCUUUGACACUCACCGCUCGAUGACAGAUCCUCCCGGAGGACUCGACAGCUGCAAACAAAUGCAUUGUU
rnacentral:lncRNA from 1 species